GGUCCCAUCGUCUAGUGGUUAGGACACCGGCCUCUCACGUCGGGAACGCGGGUUCGACUCCCGCUGGGAUCACCA
rnacentral:tRNA from 2 species